rnacentral:rRNA from 1 species
GAGUUUUUUNNNNNNNCUCAGGAUGAACGCUGGCGGCGUGCCUAAUACAUGCAAGUCGAACGCUUUGUGGUUCAACUGAUUUGAAGAGCUUGCUCAGAUAUGACGAUGGACAUUGCAAAGAGUGGCGAACGGGUGAGUAACACGUGGGAAACCUACCUCUUAGCAGGGGAUAACAUUUGGAAACAGAUGCUAAUACCGUAUAACAAUAGCAACCGCAUGGUUGCUACUUAAAAGAUGGUUCUGCUAUCACUAAGAGAUGGUCCCGCGGUGCAUUAGUUAGUUGGUGAGGUAAUGGCUCACCAAGACGAUGAUGCAUAGCCGAGUUGAGAGACUGAUCGGCCACAAUGGGACUGAGACACGGCCCAUACUCCUACGGGAGGCAGCAGUAGGGAAUCUUCCACAAUGGGCGAAAGCCUGAUGGAGCAACGCCGCGUGUGUGAUGAAGGGUUUCGGCUCGUAAAACACUGUUGUAAGAGAAGAAUGACAUUGAGAGUAACUGUUCAAUGUGUGACGGUAUCUUACCAGAAAGGAACGGCUAAAUACGUGCCAGCAGCCGCGGUAAUACGUAUGUUCCAAGCGUUAUCCGGAUUUAUUGGGCGUAAAGCGAGCGCAGACGGUUAUUUAAGUCUGAAGUGAAAGCCCUCAGCUCAACUGAGGAAUUGCUUUGGAAACUGGAUGACUUGAGUGCAGUAGAGGAAAGUGGAACUCCAUGUGUAGCGGUGAAAUGCGUAGAUAUAUGGAAGAACACCAGUGGCGAAGGCGGCUUUCUGGACUGUAACUGACGUGNNNCUC